CCUACGGGGGGCAGCAGUGAGGAAUAUUGGUCAAUGGACGAGAGUCUGAACCAGCCAAGUAGCGUGAAGGAUGACUGCCCUAUGGGUUGUAAACUUCUUUUAUCUGGGAAUAAAACGUUCCACGUGUGGGCUUUUGUAUGUACCAUAUGAAUAAGGAUCGGCGAACUCCGUGCCAGCAGCCGCGGUAAUACGGAGGAUCCGAGCUUUAUCCGGAUUUAUUGGGUUUAAAGGGAGCGACGGUGGAUUGUUAAGUCAGUUGUGAAAGUUUGCGGCUUAACCGCAAAAUUGCAGUUGAAACUGGCAGUCUUGAGUACAGGAGAGGUGGGCGGAAUGCGUGGUGUAGCGGUGAAAUGCUUAGAUAUCACGCAGAACUCCGAUUGCGAAGGCAGUUCACUGGACCGCAACUGACACUGAGGCUCGAAAGUGUGGGUAUCAAACAGGAUUAGAUACCCCGGUAGUC
rnacentral:rRNA from 1 species